rnacentral:lncRNA from 1 species
GUGAUUCGGAAUGCUGGGAGAUCGUGAUGAAGAGGAGCUGAUUUAGGAGCAAGGGAUGUGAAUGUUGAGAGGAUCUCGGAGGGAUGAGAAUGAUUUGGAUCCACGCAGAUAGUUGAUAUGAAGCUUGCUUGGAACUCAUUCGUGGAUGAUGGAAUCAAUCCAUAAUGCUACGGAUGCUUGGAAGCUUGGGAACGGCUGGCCAUGGGAUAAGGAUGGGAGCAAGCUGAGAGAUGUGAUCUAAUCCGGAACGUGGAGGAGAAGCUGGACGUGUGAAACAG